AGCCUACACUGCCAUGGAUG
rnacentral:misc_RNA from 1 species